CUGGCGGCGUGCCUAAUACAUGCAAGUCGAGCGGUAACAGGGUUCACCGUGUUCUUGACACUCCGGGCUACUAUGCGGGAGGAAAGAUCGAGGACACAGUGAAACUGCUGACGAGCGGCGGACGGCUGAGUAACGCGUGGGAACGUACCCCAAACUGAGGGAUAACGCACCGAAAGGUGUGCUAAUACCGCAUGUGAUCUUCGGAUUAAAGGAUUUAUCCGGUUUGGGAAUGGCCUGCGUACGAUUAGAUAGUUGGUGAGGUAAUGGCCCACCAAGUCGACGAUCGUUAGAUGGUUUGAGAAGAUGAUCAUCCAGACUGGGACUGAGACACGGCCCAGACUCCUACGGGAGGCAGCAGUAGGGAAUCUUUCACAAUGGGCGAAAGCCUGAUGGAGCAACGCCGCGUGCAGGAUGACGGCCUUCGGGUUGUAAACUGCUUUUAUAACCGAGAAAUAUGAUGGUAGGUUUUGAAUAAGGACCGGCUAACUACGUGCCAGCCGCCGC
rnacentral:rRNA from 1 species